GCUUCCGGAGAGAGGAAAGUCCGGGCUCCACAGGACGCGGUGGUGGGUAACGCCCACCGUCCGUUUCCGCCCCGCGGCGGAUGCGGAUAGGGAAAGUGCAACAGAAAGAAUACCGCCAGCGUCAUUGGUCAUUCGUCAUUGGUCAUUCGCUUCGGAUCGGGCCUAUCCCCGCGCACGCUCGCGAUGGGCCGUUAUCGGCGAAUGACGAAUGACCAGUGACUAAUGACGAGGGUAAGGGUGAAAAGGUGCGGUAAGAGCGCACCAGCAGCCUGGUGACAGGCUGGCUCGGCAAACCCCACCGGGAGCAAGGCCAAAUAAGGGAGCAGGGUCGGUCCGGCCCGCUAUGACUCCCGGGUAGGCCGCUCGACCGGCCGGGCAACCGGCAGGCUAGAUAAAU
rnacentral:RNase_P_RNA from 1 species